rnacentral:misc_RNA from 1 species
AAGUCGUAACAAGGUUUCCGUAGGUGAACCUGCGGAAGGAUCAUUAACACGUAUCCAACGUUAAAACCCCCCGUGCACCUUAACGCCAGCACUCCGAACCUCGAUAAGCAAUCUCUGGUAAAUCACGCCAAAACGGUUUUGAUUCAGAGACUUCUUUGAGACGGGAGGAUUGUGCGGCUCGAACAGCCGAGGUUUCCAGAUAGCACACGAGAAUGAGUGAAAGUGUCAUUUUAGUGUGUUUGAUAGGAUAACUCCGUAAAAAAGAGAUCGUUGACCCUCACGGUCCUCGGACUUGGCUGC